UGCUGGAGGUAUCAGAAGUGCGAAUGCUGACAUGAGUAACGAUAAAGGGAGUGAAAAACUCCCUCGCCGGAAGAUCAAGGGUUCCUGUCCAACGUUAAUCGGGGCAGGGUAAGUCGACCCCUAAGGCGAGGCCGAAAGGCGUAGUCGAUGGGAAACGGGUUAAUAUUCCCGUACUUCUUAUAAUUGCGAUGGAGGGACGGAGAAGGCUAGGUGAGCCUGGCGACGGUUGUCCAGGUCCAAGUAUGUAGGCUGAUGAAUUAGGCAAAUCCGGUUCAUCUUAAGGCUGAGAUACGAUGUCGAGCUACUACGGUAGUGAAGUCAUUGAUGCCAUGCUUCCGGGAAAAGCUUCUAAGCUUCAGAUUAUAAGAAAUCGUACCCCAAACCGACACAGGUGAUCAGGUAGAGAAUACCAAGGCGCUUGAGAGAACUCGGGUGAAGGAACUAGGCAAAAUGGUACCGUAACUUCGGGAGAAGGUACGCUCCUAGCGGUGAUGAGACUUGCUCUCUAAGCUGCCGGGAGUCGCAGAUACCAGGUGGCUGCAACUGUUUAUUAAAAA
rnacentral:rRNA from 1 species